rnacentral:lncRNA from 1 species
UGCCAUAAAAGGACACCGUCACGAUAUCAUCAUGACCCCUUAAUCUGCGAGUUUUGUUCUUUCUCCUGGGUUUGUUAAUAUUCUCUAUCACUCCAUAACUAUUAGCGAUCUUCCCAAUCACUCUCCCCGUUUGAUCUUCCAUUCCACGAGUCUAUAAAUACCCGGCCUUCUAUGAUUCAAUCUUUACGUUUUCAAAUUUUCCAAACUCUCUCUUGUUCAAAAAUUAAAAGAAAACCCCCUGACUUUCUCCCAAAAAACCUUCAAAACCAUUUCCAAUGGCCUCCUUCAUCUCCAAGCUUUCUAAGGAAUGUGACAAAUGCGAGACAAUCAUCGAUUAGCACUCAAUCAAGACUCUACGCUUUAAGAACGACAUGAGC